ACUCAAAGGAAUUGACGGGGGCCCGCACAAGCGGCGGAGCAUGCGGAUUAAUUCGAUGCAACGCGAAGAACCUUACCAAGGCUUGACAUGCGCAGUGUACCGGCAGAGAUGUCGGGUCAUUUAGGUGGCUGCGUGCAGGUGGUGCAUGGUUGUCGUCAGCUCGUGUCGUGAGAUGUUGGGUUAAGUCCCGCAACGAGCGCAACCCUCGUUCUAUGUUGCCAGCGCGUUAUGGCGGGGACUCAUAGGAGACUGCCGGGGUCAACUCGGAGGAAGGUGGGGAUGACGUCAAAUCAUCAUGCCCCUUAUGUCUUGGGCUUCACGCAUGCUACAAUGGACGGUACAAAGGGCUGCGAGACCGUGAGGUGGAGCGAAUCCCAAAAAGCCGUCCUCAGUUCGGAUCGGGGUCUGCAACUCGACCCCGUGAAGUCGGAGUCGCUAGUAAUCGCAGAUCAGCAACGCUGCGGUGAAUACGUUCCCGGGCCUUGUACACACCGCCCGU
rnacentral:rRNA from 1 species